rnacentral:rRNA from 1 species
GGGGGAAGCAUGCAGCUUGCUGCCUGCAGGUCUCUGGUUGAUCCUGCCGGACCCGACUGCUAUCAGAGUGGGACUAAGCCAUGCGAGUUGACGUAGUAAUACGUAGCGAACGGCUCAGUAACACGUAGUCAACAUGCCCAGGGGACGUGGAUAACCUCGGGAAACUGAGAAUAAACCGCGAUAGGUCACAAUUUCUGGAAUGGAUUUUGGCUUAAAUCUACAUGGCCCCUGGAUUGGACUGCGGCCGAUCAGGCUGUUGGUGAGGUAAUGGCCCACCAAACCUGUAACCGGUACGGGCUCUGAGAGGAGGAGCCCGGAGAUGGGCACUGAGACAAGGGCCCAGGCCCUAUGGGGCGCAGCAGGCGCGAAACCUCUGCAAUGGGCGAAAGCCUGACAGGGUUACUCUGAGUGAUUUCCGCUAAGGGGAUCUUUUGACACCUCUAAAAAUGGUGUAGAAUAAGGGGUGGGCAAGUCUGGUGUCAGCCGCCGCGGUAAUACCAGCACCCCGAGUGGUCGGGACGAUUAUUGGGCCUAAAGCAUCCGUAGCCGGUUCUGCAAGUCUUCCGUUAAAUCCAGCCGCUCAACGGAUGGGCUGCGGAAGAUACUAUAGGACUAGGAGGCGGGA